ACACUCCUGCGGGAGGCAGCAGUGGGGAAUUUUGGACAAUGGGCGAAAGCCUGAUCCAGCAAUGCCGCGUGAGUGAAGAAGGCCUUCGGGUUGUAAAGCUCUUUUGUCAGGGAAGAAACGGUGAAAGCUAAUAUCUUUUGCUAAUGACGGUACCUGAAGAAUAAGCACCGGCUAACUACGUGCCAGCAGCCGCGGUAAUACGUAGGGUGCAAGCGUUAAUCGGAAUUACUGGGCGUAAAGCGUGCGCAGGCGGUUUUGUAAGUCUGAUGUGAAAUCCCCGGGCUCAACCUGGGAAUUGCAUUGGAGACUGCAAGGCUAGAAUCUGGCAGAGGGGGGUAGAAUUCCACGUGUAGCAGUGAAAUGCGUAGAUAUGUGGAGGAACACCGAUGGCGAAGGCAGCCCCCUGGGUCAAGAUUGACGCUCAUGCACGAAAGCGUGGGGAGCAAACAGGAUUAGAAACCCCUGUAGUCC
rnacentral:rRNA from 1 species